CGUUAUGGCGGGCUAUGCGGGCAACCUUCGGGUUGGCCGUUUUGGGUUUCUUGCGGUUUGCUACCCCGUAUAGCCUGCCUCCAAU
rnacentral:antisense_RNA from 1 species